rnacentral:rRNA from 1 species
UAAGGAAUAUUGGACAAUGGUCGCAAGACUGAUCCAGCCAUGCCGCGUGCAGGAAGACGGCCCUAUGGGUUGUAAACUGCUUUUGUACCAGAGAAAACCUAUCUACGUGUAGAUAGCUGAUAGUAUGGUAAGAAUAAGCACCGGCUAACUUCGUGCCAGCAGCCGCGGUAAUACGAAGGGUGCAAGCGUUACUCGGAAUUACUGGGCGUAAAGCGUGCGUAGGUGGUUCGUUAAGUCUGAUGUGAAAGCCCUGGGUUCAACCUGGGAAUGGCAUUGGAAACUGGCGGACUGGAGUGCGGUAGAGGGUAGCGGAAUUCCCGGUGUAGCAGUGAAAUGCGUAGAUAUCGGGAGGAACAUCCGUGUCGAAGGCGGCUACCUGGACCAGCACUGACACUGAGGCACGAAAGCGUGGGGA